AACAGCAGCGGUCACUUUUGCACUCUUAUUUGAAACUGUUCCAACUUUACUCAUGACAAGAAAACGACAAGUUGAGCUUGAGAGAAUGACUUGCUAACACGGCAGAGUAACAGCUGUAUUGUUCCACUUUCUCAAGUUUGUUCUAAGCUCAACUAAGUUAGCUGCUAACUAGCUACUGUUUCGUUUCCUCUGGCGCUGGCUGUUCUUUCCUUUUUUUCCUGUGUCGUUCUCUGUGUCUGCUCCUCCCCCAUCCCUUGAACACACACUGUUUUUCAUUGUUAGAGAUGACAGCAAUGAUAACAAUGCAAAGAACCACAACUCACAGCCGGAGUACGAGAUAGAGGCAGAGACAGAGAGACUUCCUUCAGUUUUCCUCUCAGGCAGGAUCCCUCUUUUCUGUGGCAUGCUUUCAUGAUAUGGAUAAAAACUGACAUACAGUUUCCUCUCAGCUUGGAUCUCCCUUUGGCAGCAGCGUGCCUUCAUGACAUAGAUGUGUUCCACCCAUCCACCUUAUCAACCUGCUGCAGACCGCUGGUGUGGGCUGACUGUGACCUGAUACCCCAGCUCAUCACAGAGGAGUCGGUCCCAGCUGAGAUAGACUUCCCCACCUUUGCUGUGCCUGUGUGAACCCUGAAAUUAUCACACACCAGAUGCUCAGUGGUUGGAUGAUAUACACAGGAUGUGAUCACUGGUUAUCUCUCAGUGCAACACCACUGUGUUUGACAUCAUCUGAACAGGUAUUAGCAUGUGGCGCAACAUUUGUGCUUUGCACAGUAAUCACAUAGACAUUUGGGGUAUGUGCUAAAGUAAAUAUGCUUGGCUGUUGGCCGUGCUGUGGCACUGGGCAUUUACGGUAGAAUUACAGCCAAAUAUUAAUUUAUAUUUUAAACCCUGGUGAAAGCAGAAAUUCUUAAGCCUUUUGGGUAAAAACAGAAUAAAUUUAGCCUCACCCUGAGACCCAUGGCUCAUUAAAACACACUAUAUAGGGUAACAACCUAUUUUUACACAGCUAUAAUUAAGGAAAUGCUGGCCCAAACAAAACUGAGUGAGAAAAUAAUGUAUGUCCACAACGUGCCUCAGUCCAAUGUCUGUAAAAACUGGAAGGGAUGGUGGUGUCUCUCUCUUUGUGUCUCCCCCCCCCCCCACCCCACCCCAAUCCUUUCAAAGCUGUUUAUCGCCCAUCUCCACUAAUGUAAACCGCCCAUCUGUUUUAAACAAAACACAUAAAAACACACACAUAGUCAUUUCCCACCACGCCAGGCCCUGAAAGAAAGGAUUGCUGGUUAUUCUGGUGGCAAGGAAAUACACUCCAGAUGUGAACAAAUUGUCCCCCUUACUAAUUGCCAUUGUAUUCGCUGAUGCUGAUUUUGGAUCGCUUAGGUUUGGGUAGAUGGGGCUGAGAAUGCUUGCCAGAACUUGAUAAGUGCAUGUGUGUGUAUUUAUUUGGAGGCUUGAGAGUGUGUGAUUAUGAAGCUAUGGUGUUAAAAGAGGAGCUGUGAGGUAAAGGGUGUUAAAGGAAGGAGAGGUAAUUUGGGAUGACACCAGAGGAAUAGUUGGUGAUCUGACUACUGUUAUACCCAGCAGGCAUCAACAGACACAGAUGUUUCUGCUCAAUGCCUGAUGAAGGCUUUAUUUAAAGGAGCCCAUUGCUUUCUUCCGUCCUGUCAUCAUAACUUCUGAAAGGCUGGCUUCCUUGUCCCUUACAGUGCAUCUAAUCAGGACUGAUUAGGUGUGUGGUAGCCAGAGACAUGCAGGGGAGUGGCUGUUCUGGAGGCUGCCCCUGCUGUCAUGUCGGUUUCUGCAUGUGAAAGGUUCCAUAGAUGGUCUGGAGAGAUGAGAGAGACAGACAGAGAGGAAUCAGAGGAAGUCAGCGCCACGGGAUGAUGUGGCGUCUCAUCAGACAGUUAAAAAUCACUCCACAACUCUAAAUAACAGACCACCAUGCAACUGCAAUCAACCUGACUGUGGUCGCACCAACCACACUGCAAUCCAAAUAAACAAACAGUGGCAUAAUGAAAGAAGACUCCCUCUUUAUGCUGGGAAACUACUUCACCUCAUCCAUCUUCAACCUUGUGUUUCUCUCUAUCAUCUAUUCUUGUCCAGUGUCAGUUUGUUUUGCAGCAUCCUCACAUGAGAAGCUGCAGGAGAAAAUGGAACACAACAACUGCAUCAGACUGCAGUUGGUCUAAAGAGAGACAAUUCCCCCUGAACAGAGCAUUAAAACAACCCUGAUAACCAUGGAUCAUUUGAAUGACAUUCAUGUAACUCAACGAAUCAAUGACACUGUAAUAAUACGAUACCACACAGACAAAACCUUUUGUUAUAUACUCACAGUAAUUUUAUUUUUAGACUGAUGAAAAAUAUCAUACAUAUAUAUAUGUCAUGUGCAACUGCUGUAUAAUGCUGCCUCCUGUAACACAUGUCCAGUUUACUGUGAAAAAAUGUAACUAAUGUGAAUCAGAUAACAUUUGACAUUCUCUCAAUUUCUUUAUUUACUAUGGGCUAAAUAACCAGUUGUCUUUGGUUUUAUAAGAUUUUAAACACUUUUAAAAAGUUUUCUGUUUAAUGACUGUGUCUUUUUGGUAGUUUUGACUUUAUGUUUAGUUUUCAUAAAUUAUUGGAUUAAAAAAGGAGAACAUUUACAAAUAAUUAUGUGUGGUAUGUGUUUAAAGGAUUAACCCAAUUUCUGUAACAAAUUGCAAAGAAAUAAUUGCAUCAAUAUGGUCAAAUAUCCAUGUCUUUCAAACCUCCACAUAAAAGUCUCAUUGGAUGUAUAUUGUGGAAAUGUAUGAUGAUGUACUGUAUUACUCACCCUGAGAUCAUUUUAAUAUUUUAACUUCAGCUCAUUACUUAAUCUCAACUUCCUCAAUUUAAAUAUCUCAUUCUUUGUAGUUCUUUAAUUGUUUUGUAUUGUUUAUAAUGAAUGAAUGAAUGAAUGAAUAUAUGUACAUUAUACAUACAUACAUACAUUCUUAAGUAGUCUGUUUUUUUUUUCCUUUUACAUUAAGUUAUUAUCAUGUUUCACUCGGGCUGCUGUUACAAAUAAAUGUUUGCUUCAA